UACGGGGGGGGGCAAGCGUUGUUCGGAAUUACUGGGCGUAAAGGGUCUGUAGGUGGCUUGUUAAGUCAGACGUGAAAUCCCUCAGCUUAACUGGGGAACUGCGUCUGAUACUGGCGAGCUUGAGUGCAGGAGAGGAACGCGGAAUUCCAGGUGUAGCGGUGAAAUGCGUAGAUAUCUGGAGGAACACCGGUGGCGAAGGCGGCGUUCUGGACUGUAACUGACACUGAGAGACGAAAGCCAGGGUAGCAAACGGG
rnacentral:rRNA from 1 species